ACAGCUGCCGAACUGCGCAUGCUCAGGAAAUUGUGCCAACACCAGUGUGUGCAGUGACUCCAGUGGAGGCAGUCGGUGUCUGCUCCCGUUUCUACCUCUCAUUUAGGAAGUUCCCAAGUGCUUUGGCUGAUUUGAUUGUUUGACACAAGCUUUUGUACAGCCAAAGGAAUUUAUAUAAACUGAUUACACUGAGCGAUAUUCCCAGGCACGGCUGAGUCUCCUGCAGAUUAAUAGCUCAUCCUGGAGGAAGAAUUUGUGCUGGAAUCAAAGAGAACGCUGAUGUGCCGAACCCUGUGCAUUACGAAUCUGCUUUAAAACUGGAGAGAGUGGACGUGGGGACAGCUGUCCUACGGAUACAGUUGUUUCAGGGUUUGUAUUCACAGGACUGAUUUUUCUGAUGUUCCGUGGAGCUUGAGAUGAUGCACAGUAAAGGAAGGAAUUCUUGGCUUACA